UGGGGAAUCUUGGACAAUGGGGGCAACCCUGAUCCAGCGAUGCCGCGUGGGUGAAGAAGGCCUUCGGGUUGUAAAGCCCUUUAGGUUGGGAAGAAGGUUGUUAACGGAUAAUGUUAGCAGCUUGACGGUACUAACAGAAUAAGCACCGGCAAACUCUGUGCCAGCAGCCGCGGUAAUACAGAGGGUGCAAGCGUUAAUCGGAGUUACUGGGCGUAAAGGGCGCGUAGGCGGUUUAAUGGGUGUGAUGUGAAAGCCUUGGGCUUAACCUGAGAAGUGCAUCGCAAACUAAUAGACUGGAGUAUAUGAGAGGGUGGCGGAAUUUCCGGUGUAGCGGUGAAAUGCGUAGAGAUCGGAAGGAACGUCAAUGGCGAAGGCAGCCACCUGGCAUAAUACUGACGCUGAGGCGCGAAAGCGUGGGGAGCGAACAGG
rnacentral:rRNA from 1 species